GUGGGGAAUAUUGGACAAUGGGCGCAAGCCUGAUCCAGCCAUGCCGCGUGGGUGAAGAAGGCCUUCGGGUUGUAAAGCCCUUUUGUCCGGAAAGAAAAGCACUGGAUUAAUACUUCGGUGUUCUGACGGUACCGGAAGAAUAAGCACCGGCUAACUUCGUGCCAGCAGCCGCGGUAAUACGAAGGGUGCAAGCGUUACUCGGAAUUACUGGGCGUAAAGCGUGCGUAGGUGGUUCGUUAAGUCUGAUGUGAAAGCCCUGGGCUCAACCUGGGAAUUGCAUUGGAUACUGGCGGGCUAGAGUGCGGUAGAGGAUGGCGGAAUUCCCGGUGUAGCAGUGAAAUGCGUAGAGAUCGGGAGGAACAUCUGUGGCGAAGGCGGCCAUCUGGACCAGCACUGACACUGAGGCACGAAAGCGUGGGGAGCAAACAGGAUUAGAAACCCUUGUAGUCC
rnacentral:rRNA from 1 species